rnacentral:rRNA from 1 species
UUUGAAAGGGAAACGAUUGAAGUCAGUCGUGCAGUCAUCAACUCAACGGGUAUCGUGAGUAAUAAUUUAUUGCUUACGUUUCCGUGUACUUUGUUGUCUGCUGGUUAGCAUCAAUUUUGAUUGUCAUAAAAAGGUUAAGGGGAUGUGGCUCCUUCGGGAGUGUUAUAACCCUUGGCGGAAUGUGACGAUUGGGAUUGAGGUUUGCAACGAAUACCUUUAGGGCAGUUCCUUCUGGUCUCUUGUUGACGUUCAGAUGGCGACAGCUUGCUGACGUUGUUUGAAUAGUUUGCGAAUAGAUUGGAAUAUGAAUUAAUUCGUUAAGGAUGUUGACGU